rnacentral:snoRNA from 1 species
UUUUAUGAUGAUCGUUCUCACAACAUUCUGUCCGGUGAAUCCUGAGCCAUGGAUAAACAACAUGCAUCACCAUCUGACC